AUUGAACGCUGGCGGAAUGCUUUACACAUGCAAGUCGAACGGCAGCACGGGGGCAACCCUGGUGGCGAGUGGCGAACGGGUGAGUAAUACAUCGGAACGUGCCCAGUCGUGGGGGAUAACGUAGCGAAAGUUACGCUAAUACCGCAUACGAUCUACGGAUGAAAGCGGGGGACCGUAAGGCCUCGCGCGCUUGGAGCGGCCGAUGUUGGAUUAGGAAGUUGGUGGGGUAAAGGCUCACCAAGCCGACGAUCUGUAGCUGGUCUGAGAGGACGACAAGCCACACUGGGACUGAGACACGGCCCAGACUCCUACGGGAGGCAGCAGUGGGGAAUUUUGGACAAUGGGCGCAAGCCUGAUCCAGCCAUUCCGCGUGCAGGACGAAGGCCUUCGGGUUGUAAACUGCUUUUGUACGGAACGAAAAGGCUCUGGUUAAUACCUGGGGCUCAUGACGGUACCGUAAGAAUAAGCACCGGCUAACUACGUGCCAGCCGCCGCCGUAA
rnacentral:rRNA from 1 species